rnacentral:misc_RNA from 1 species
UGAUGACACUUAUUUUAAUUUUGGGAAAAGAACACUGAAGUAUAUUGAGAGAUGAUUUCUCCAUGUUAUCCUUAAAAUGGGAUAGGACAACAAAGCACAUGCUGGCAGAGGAGGCAACGAAGCAAGCAACCUCCAAUAAAUGUAACGCCACCUUUGGAGCACUGCAUUAUUGACCACUUCUCCAUGGACCAAAAUAUCAACCCACUACCUAUAUAAAAUACUCGCCAAAUAUAUGCAAAAAGAAAG